UACGUAGGUGGCAAGCGUUGUCCGGAAUUAUUGGGCGUAAAGCGCGCGCAGGCGGUCCUUUAAGUCUGAUGUGAAAGCCCACGGCUCAACCGUGGAGGGUCAUUGGAAACUGGAGGACUUGAGUACAGAAGAGGAAAGCGGAAUUCCACGUGUAGCGGUGAAAUGCGUAGAGAUGUGGAGGAACACCAGUGGCGAAGGCGGCUUUCUGGUCUGUAACUGACGCUGAGGAGCGAAAGCCAGGGGAGCAAACGGG
rnacentral:rRNA from 1 species